GAUGAACGCUGGCGGCGUGCCUAAUACAUGCAUGUCGAGCGGACGGGCGAGAAGCUUGCUUUUCUGAUGUUAGCGGCGGACGGGUGAGUAACACGUGGAUAACCUACCUAUAUGUCUGGUAUAACUUCGGGAAACCGGAGCUAAUACCGGAUAAUAUUUUGAACCGCAUUGUUCAAAAGUGAGAGACGGUCUUGCUGUCACUUCUCGAUGGAUCCGCGCUGCAUUAGCUAGUUGGUACGGUAACGGCUUACCAAGGCAACGAUGCAUAGCCGACCUGAGAGGGUGAUAGGCCGCAUGAGAAGUGAGACAGGGUCAAGACGCCUACGGGAGGGAGCAGUCGGGAAUCUUACGCAAUGGGCGAAAGCCUGGCGGAGCGACGCGACGUGAGUGAUGGCGGUCCUCGGAGCGUAAUACUCUGUUAUGAGGGAAGAACAUAUGUGUCAGGAACUGUGGACAUCGUGACGGUAACUAAUAAGAAAGCCACGGCUAACUACGUG
rnacentral:rRNA from 1 species